rnacentral:rRNA from 1 species
AUGUGCGGCGGCGCCAUCCUAGCGAAGCUGAUCCCGCCGACGCCGCCGUCGGCGGGCCGUGCCCCGAAGCAGGUGGCCGCGGGCGGGGUCUCGCCCAAGAAGGGCGGCAUGAACAAGACGCACCACAGCAGCACCCCCGAUGUCGACGACUUCGAGGCCGCCUUCGAGGACUUCGAUGACGACUUCCACCUGCAGGCGGAGGAGGACGGCGACGACCAUGUCGUUUUUGCAUCCAAACCUGCCUUCUCCCCGGCCUACGAUGAUGGCCGCGCGGCGCAGGCGGCGAGCAGGAAGAAGAGCGUCCGCCGCCUCCACGGCAUCCGUCAGCGGCCGUGGGGCAAGUGGGCGGCGGAGAUCCGCGACCCGCACAAGGGCACCCGCGUCUGGCUCGGCACGUUCGACACGGCCGAUGAUGCCGCCCGGGCCUACGACGUCGCCGCCCACCGCCUCCGUGGCAGCAAGGCCAAAGUCAACUUCCCCAACGGGACCAGGGCUGGGGCGCGCCUGCAACGUGCCAGCCGGAGAACCGCUUCGAAACGGCAGUGCCCCCCUGCGCGGACGACGGCGUACUCUGCUGCACACGCACAGAAGGAGCGGGACGCUAUGGUGGCCAAGCCUGAGCUGAUGGAGUCUUUCGACAUGGACGCCUUCGUCGACCUGACCACUGCUUUCACCACGCUACCGCCUGUCAUGGCAAGCUCCUUCGCCGACACUGGCGCGAAGAAGCCGAUGGUCGAUGAGGAUUCGUCGGAUGGGAGCGGCGGCGAUGCCAUGCUGGGGUUCGAUCCGUUCAUGCUGUUCCAGCUCCCCUGCUCGGACACGUACGAAUCCAUCGACAGCCUCUUCGCCGGCGACGCCGUCAUCCAGGAUGCCCUCGGCGUGGACAGUGGCAUGGAGGGCGUCAGCCUCUGGAGCUUCGAGGAGUUCCCCAUGGACAGCGCCAUUUUUUGA